GAGGAAGAAUUCCCUCUACGUACUUCUGUUCCUUUUUAUCUGGAGGAUACUCCAUGCAAGAGCACAUUUUAAUGCUGUUUCCUUCCAGAACGAGCCUAAAACUGUGCUCUAAAAGGAAGAUUGCGACAUUCUUAAUUCAGUUUUUCAAGUCGGAAUUGGUUUCGUGCGGUUACAUUCAUAGGAAAAAGCGUGGAAAAAAAAAAGAAAGAAAGGGAACGGUGUGCCUCAGCUGGGGAGCGUGGUGGAGGCAGACAGCUCGGAAGAGACCUGUCGCAACGCUUGACUCCUUCUGCUCGUGCAGGGCUCAGCUUGAGGCUUGCAGACACCAACAAUGAGCCCAUUUCCCUGGAGACACCAGCCCAUGUCCCUCCAGGGCAAAGCUGGCACAAAAGCCGCAGCUGAUGGUGCCUCGCCAGGGACAUGAGUGGCUGUGUUGGCACAUUGUGGAGCAUUGUGGACACCCAUUGUUGGGUCUGAAG
rnacentral:lncRNA from 1 species